rnacentral:rRNA from 1 species
AUGGACCACCCCCAUCUUGGACUCCUCGAGUCGGUGUUCAUUGAGGACAAAAUCAAGCCUAACCGGUGGGAUAGUGAGGAAGGUACUACCUCCGAGCUCACAGGAGUAGCUGAUCAAUGUGCUUGGGAACCAUUCAUGCGUGAUCACGGAGUGACCAGCUGGGCCAAGUUGUUGGACAACGUCUCGAUGAUGACACCUGUUUCAGGGUUCUUUUCUUGUGAUCUCGUGACGACAUGCACUCCUUUUAGAGUUCUCUUCUUGUGCUCACCCAACGUCCGCCACGCUUCGGUCAAACCUCUCUUCGUAAUGUGCGGAGCUAGUGCCUCAGACACCUCAGGCUCAUCAAGGUUGACAAGUUUUUGA